AACGAACGCUGGCGGCAGGCCUAACACAUGCAAGUCGAACGCCGUAGCGAUACGGAGUGGCAGACGGGUGAGUAACGCGUGGGAACAUACCCCUCGGUUCGGAAUAACUCAGGGAAACUUGAGCUAAUACCGGAUAAGUCCGAGGUUUUAAUCGACCUUGGAGAAAGAUUUAUCGCCGGAGGAUUGGCCCGCGUCUGAUUAGCUUGUUGGUGAGGUAAUGGCUCACCAAGGCGACGAUCAGUAGCUGGUCUGAGAGGAUGAUCAGCCACAUUGGGACUGAGACACGGCCCAAACUCCUACGGGAGGCAGCAGUGGGGAAUAUUGGACAAUGGGCGAAAGCCUGAUCCAGCCAUGCCGCGUGAGUGAUGAAGGCC
rnacentral:rRNA from 1 species